CCCUUAGAGUUUGAUCCUGGCUCAGAUUGAACGCUGGCGGCAGGCCUAACACAUGCAAGUCGAACGGUAACAGGAAGCAGCUUGCUGCUUCGCUGACGAGUGGCGGACGGGUGAGUAAUGUCUGGGAAACUGCCUGAUGGAGGGGGAUAACUACUGGAAACGGUAGCUAAUACCGCAUAACGUCGCAAGACCAAAGAGGGGGACCUUCGGGCCUCUUGCCAUCGGAUGUGCCCAGAUGGGAUUAGCUAGUAGGUGGGGUAACGGCUCACCUAGGCGACGAUCCCUAGCUGGUCUGAGAGGAUGACCAGCCACACUGGAACUGAGACACGGUCCAGACUCCUACGGGAGGCAGCAGUGGGGAAUAUUGCACAAUGGGCGCAAGCCUGAUGCAGCCAUGCCGCGUGUAUGAAGAAGGCCUUCGGGUUGUAAAGUACUUUCAGCGGGGAGGAAGGCGAUAAGGUUAAUAACCUUGUCGAUUGACGUACCCGCAGAAGAAGCCCGCACUCG
rnacentral:rRNA from 1 species